rnacentral:rRNA from 1 species
UACGGAGGGUGCGAGCGUUGUCCGGAAUCACUGGGCGUAAAGAGCGUGUAGGCGGCUAGGUAGGUCCGUUGUGAAAACUCGAGGCUCAACCUCGAGACGUCGAUGGAAACCAUCUAGCUAGAGUCCGGAAGAGGAGAGUGGAAUUCCUGGUGUAGCGGUGAAAUGCGCAGAUAUCAGGAAGAACACCCGUGGCGAAGGCGGCUCUCUGGUACGUGACUGACGCUGAGACGCGAAAGCGUGGGGAGCGAACAGG